rnacentral:rRNA from 1 species
CCUACGGGGCGCAGCAGUGGGGAAUAUUGGGCAAUGGGCGAAAGCCUGACCGAGCAACGCCGCGUGAACGAAGAAGUAUUUCGGUAUGUAAAGCUCUAUCAGCAGGGAAGAAAGGAAUGACGGUACCUGACUAAGAAGCCCCGGCUAACUACGUGCCAGCAGCCGCGGUAAUACGUAGGGGGCAAGCGUUAUCCGGAUUUACUGGGUGUAAAGGGAGCGUAGACGGUUACGCAAGUCUGGAGUGAAAGGCGGGGGCCCAACCCCCGGACUGCUUUGGAAACUGUAUAACUGGAGUGCAGGAGAGGUAAGUGGAAUUCCUAGUGUAGCGGUGAAAUGCGUAGAUAUUAGGAGGAACACCAGUGGCGAAGGCGGCUUACUGGACUGUAACUGACGUUGAGGCUCGAAAGCGUGGGGAGCAAACAGGAUUAGAUACCCUGGUAGUC